CCUACGGGCGGCAGCAGUGAGGAAUAUUGGUCAAUGGGCGCGAGCCUGAACCAGCCAAGUAGCGUGAAGGAUGACUGCCCUACGGGUUGUAAACUUCUUUUAUAAAGGAGUAAAGUGAGGCACGUGUGCCUUUUUAUAUGUACUUUAUGAAUAAGGAUCGGCUAACUCCGUGCCAGCAGCCGCGGUAAUCCGGAGGAUCCGAGCGUUGUCCGGAUUUAUUGGGUUUAAAGGGAGCGUAGGUGGGUUGUUAAGUCAGUUGUGAAAGUCUGCGGCUCAACCGUAAAAUUGCAAUUGAUACUGGCAGGCUUGAGUACAGUUGAGGUAGGCGGAAUUCGUGGUGUAGCGGUGAAAUGCUUAGAUAUCACGAAGAACUCCGAUUGCGAAGGCAGCUUACUAAACUGCAACUGACAUUGAUGCACGAAAGUGUGGGUAUCAAACAGGAUUAGAUACCCUAGUAGUC
rnacentral:rRNA from 1 species